AGUCGANCGGGAAUCUUCGGAUUCUAGUGGCGGACGGGUGAGUAACGCGUAAGAAUCUAACUUCAGGACGGGGACAACAGUUGGAAACGACUGCUAAUACCCGAUGUGCCGAAAGGUGAAACCUAAUUGGCCUGAAGAAGAGCUUGCGUCUGAUUAGCUAGUUGGUGGGGUAAAGGCCUACCAAGGCGACGAUCAGUAGCUGGUCUGAGAGGAUGAGCAGCCACACUGGGACUGAGACACGGCCCAGACUCCUACGGGAGGCAGCAGUGGGGAAUUUUCCGCAAUGGGCGAAAGCCUGACGGAGCAACGCCGCGUGAGGGAGGAAGGUCUUUGGAUUGUAAACCUCUUUUCUCAAGGAAGAAGUUCUGACGGUACUUGAGGAAUCAGCCUCGGCUAACUCCGUGCCAGCAGCCGCGGUAAUACGGGGGAGGCAAGCGUUAUCCGGAAUUAUUGGGCGUAAAGCGUCCGCAGGUGGUCAGCCAAGUCUGCCGUCAAAUCAGGUUGCUUAACGACCUAAAGGCGGUGGAAACUGGCAGACUAGAGAGCAGUAGGGGUAGCAGGAAUUCCCAGUGUAGCGGUGAAAUGCGUAGAGAUUGGGAAGAACAUCGGUGGCGAAAGCGUGCUACUGGGCUGUAUCUGACACUCAGGGACGAAAGCUAGGGGAGCGAAAGGGAUUAGAUACCCCUGUAGUCCUAGCCGUAAACGAUGGAUACUAGGCGUGGCUUGUAUCGACCCGAGCCGUGCCGAANCUAACGCGUUAAGUAUCCCGCCUGGGGAGUACGCACGCAAGUGUGAAACUCAAAGGAAUUGACGGGGGCCCGCACAAGCGGNGGANUAUGUGGUUUAANUUCGAUGCAACGCGAAGAANCNUUACCAAGA
rnacentral:rRNA from 1 species